CUCUUAAUUUGAAAACACGAUUCAUAACCAAAAAUCGUUCGCAGCCCAGCGAUUUUCAAAUCUUCCCUCUGAGUCUGAGCUCCGUCGGCGAUUGGCUCUCCGGUGCCGUUGAACGUUAGCCGUUACGGUCUACUAUAGAACGAUUUAAUCGUAAAUUGUCAGGAGGAGUAGUACUGAACAGAUUUUGCCAUGUCUGCACCUACUGAAAAAAGUUCUAAAGGAGCUAAGGAGAAAGAUCUAAUGUUUGACGAAGACAUGGAAAAGGAUACAUGGAACUUUAAGUCGAUGACAGAUGAUGAUCCAAUGGAUUUUGGAUAUGGUUCACCAGCAAAUAAAGAUAAGACUAAGAAUGCUUUCAAGCUGGAUAUGAGUUUCGACCUGGGUGGAGAUUUUGGAUCAUCAUUCAAAAUGGACAUGUCAGAGUUUGAUUUCUCAAGCCCGGCCAAGAAAACCACAAAAACAAAACAAAACUCUGAUGAUAGUGGAGAUCUGAAACAGAAAAAGAAUCCGUUUGACUUCGCUUGUGAUUUUGACGCGUUAGGUGACUUGGAUCUUGAUUCAAGCCCACCGAAGAAGGGAAACGAGACUACGACCAAAUCCAUGGAUUUCGAAGAAUUUACUACUUCGAAAGUUUUCGAUAAGUCUGACUCUUUGGACUUCGGUCCUGACUUACCAACAACCAGACAAGCUGUCUCCCGGGAAAAUACAGAUGUCAAGGCAAAUGCUUCAGCUGCAAAAGAAAACCAAAGUUCCAAGGCUGUAGAUAGUAUGAGCAGCACACACUCGAAGCAAGCUACACUCGAGAGCAAGGAAAUUUUUGAGGAGGUGGAUUCACCUCAACGUCUAAGGAUGAGAACCUCACGAGUUCAUGAAAUGCCUGCACAACCUCAGCAUGCCAACAUUUCACCUUUGAGGACUUCAUAUUCAAAGGUUGAAGAAAAUAAUAAACCAUGUCUUUCAAAUGAGACAGCAGCACCCUCGCCAUUACAUUCUUCUGAGACUGCACAUACUGCAGCAAGCAGAGAAACCAGUCCAGGAAGCCAUGAAAUCUGCAGGUCUGGCACGAAGGAAGAUUCUCCUAGAGAUACAGAAGAGAAUGCCAACAACAAAAUGAUUUCCGCCUCAAAAUCAAACAUCUCAUCGCUGUCAUGUUUGGACAAGAUCAAACAUCAACAAGAAGAGAUGGAUACAGAGACUCUGACAGAAAUACAGGAACACACUAGAAGAACAUUAUGUGUUCCAGAUGCCGGUCAUUCUCAAACAACUCUCGCAGGAAAAGUACCAUCAGCCUCUCAACUAGGCCAAACUGCCCAGGUACAACAUUCGAGUUCAAAGCUACCACAGGCUCCAUCAGACAGGCUCAGUAAUUUGGAGACCAUGCAACACAAAGACUCAGGACAUAUCAGAUCCAUGCUUUUUAAGAAGAUAGAAAAACCACAAUCACAUGUGCUUGAGUCUCCAACUCAAACAGAGAUUCGGCCAGUUACCCGUGAAAGGAUUGGGUCGAACUUAAACCCUACAAAUGAUAAAAGACACGAUACUGAAGAUGCUUUACCUGGAUCCAAAACUAGAACAGCUCCAAUUGAGCUUCCCAAAACGGAUUCCAAAACAGCAAAUGUGAAUGCUACCAGUAGUUCCCAUGAAAAGAUAAUCCAGAAGGACCACUUAAAGCUGCUAGAAAAUGCAACCAGAGAGAAGUCCAACUUACAGGGAAAUAUAAGUAGCUCAAAACCCGAUGCUUCUAGCUUGACUGAGAAGCUAAACAAACACUUGAGCUCUGGAGGCGAAUCUUUGCAGAAGUCCAAAAUGGUAUCUCUUGAAAGGCCUAAACUUGGAAAUAUUAUGUCUGAUCUGCGUGCAGCAACUCAAAGGGCCAUUGGAGUAAACAAAGACAAACCAAAUUCUGCGGUGCAACCACAAGUUAACCCUUCUACAAGCACUGAGAGAAGUACCGAGGCACCAAUUAGAAAGAGCUCCGAGAUUCACCAUUUGGCUCCCAGAAACAAAACACAAGUCCUGCAGUAUAGGAACAUUGCAGGAAACAAAGACCAUUCCAGUUCUGUAGUGCAACCAGAAGAAGUUCGCUCUUCCAUAAGCAAGGAUAGAAAUACCGGAGCACCGGUUAAAAAGAUCUCUGAGAUUCAUCAUUUGGCUCCCAAAGAAAAAAUAAAAAGUUUGCACUGCCCACCUUCUUUAAAGCGGAAGGCUCUCGAUGAGGAUGCGGAUAGAUCAUUGAUGCCACAACUUAAACGCUUUUCCAUGUCUCCAAGAGGAAACAGGAACGUUGAGGAGCUAACACACAUAGUUGGGCAAGUAAAGGUGUCAUGCCAAGCGAGUAGACUAGAAAACAAUACAACCAAGCACCUUGUCAAAGAAAGCCCCCGGACUAAAUCUCAGCCCCAGUUCAUGAACAUGGCAAAUCUGGAAAUCCCAAUCACGGAGUAUGAUGAAAACAUUGAGAAAGCUGAAUCAUAUACAAAAGAACUCGACAACAUCUGCAACAUUCUGAAGAAGAAACAUGAGGAAGCGAAAGAGUUGCUUGUCCGUGCUGUAGUAAACAACAAUAAGCUACUGAUGCUCAACCAUCCUUUACAUGAAGCCAAGAUUCGUAUGGUCCAGAAUUUCGCAGCUAAGUUGAGUUUAGGGGAGACAUGAUGAACACUCAAACAACUGUUGCUUUAAGAGGUUCAACACCUUAUGGUCAAAAGUCCAGAUUGACGUCCCACUGGUCCAAGAAUGUCAUCACAUGCAGCAAAGAGAUCAUUUCGACGAAAUACAUAAUGGUUGAACUUAAAUGGAUGUACCAAGCAAGAAAAAAUAAAAUGCCCAAUGGAUGCCAUACAUGCUGCGCCGUCUUUUCUACCAUGGAAGAUAGACCCACCAAGCCUAUUGCCACCCACCAAAUACAUAAACAACGUAGGAGCAAGAUGGUAUUGGGGUACACCUGUCGUCCCGUCUGGAUAGCGGUCAUUAUAAACUCUAUGAAACAAUAGAAUGCAAGGGUAAGAGCGAUAUAUGGACCGGCUACAGCCAACAAAAUGAUCACCGUAACUCUUUUCGUUUAGGAGCCAUCAUUACCAUUAUCACACCGCAUGUCAAACUCACAACGAGUGACACAGAGCUUAUGACUAAUAGAGCCACUGGCUUUUCUACCGCACUAACAGAUUAAAUAUAUUUCUGAUUUUGAAAUCUUAUACUUUUUAUCAUUUUUUGUAUAUUUAUAUUUACUUAUAUU